rnacentral:rRNA from 1 species
UACGGAGGGUGCAAGCGUUGUCCGGAAUCAUUGGGCGUAAAGGGUGCGUAGGUGGGAAGAUACGUCUGAAGUGAAAUCCUGCGGCUUAACCGUAGAACUGCUUUGGAUACGGUCUUUCUUGAGUCAUAUAGGGGGUCGCGGAAUUUCAGGUGUAGCGGUGAAAUGCGUAGAUAUAGGAAGGAACACCAGUGGCGAAGGCGACUACCUGGACUGAUACUGACACUGAGGUGCGAAAGCGUGGGGAGCAAACAGGAUUAGAAACCCGUGUAGU